rnacentral:rRNA from 1 species
CAGUCGCCACGGUAACACGUAGGGGGCAAGCGUUGUCCGGAAUCAUUGGGCGUAAAGAGCGCGUAGGCGGCUUUGUAAGUCUGCUGUGAAAGUCCAGGGCUCAACCCUGGAAUGCCGGUGGAAACUGUCAAGCUAGAGUCCGGAAGAGGCGAGUGGAAUUCCUGGUGUAGCGGUGAAAUGCGCAGAUAUCAGGAGGAACACCAAUGGCGAAGGCAGCUCGCUGGGACGGUACUGACGCUGAGACGCGAAAGCGUGGGGAGCAAACAGGAUUAGAUACCCGCGUAGUCCCUGUCUCUUAUAA